CUACGGGACGCUCCAGUGGGGAAUAUUGCGCAAUGGGCGAAAGCCUGACGCAGCAACGCCGCGUGAGUGAUGAAGGCCUUCGGGUCGUAAAGCUCUGUCGGGAGGGAAGAACACCUUCGGGUCUGACGGUACCUCCCGAGGAAGCACCGGCUAACUCCGUGCCAGCAGCCGCGGUAAUACGGAGGGUGCAAGCGUUGUUCGGAAUCACUGGGCGUAAAGGGCGCGCAGGCGGCCUGGUAAGUCAGAUGUGAAAGCCCACGGCUUAACCGUGGAAGUGCAUUUGAAACUGUCAGGCUUGAGUACCAGAGGGGAAAGUGGAAUUCCCGGUGUAGAGGUGAAAUUCGUAGAUAUCGGGAGGAAUACCGGUGGCGAAGGCGACUUUCUGGCUGAGUACUGACGCUGAGGCGCGAAAGCGUGGGGAGCAAACAGGAUUAGAUACCCCGGUAGUC
rnacentral:rRNA from 1 species